GGGGCUGUACUGGUUUCGACGGGGAGUGCAAAGUUUAAGAUGCAUGUCGUGCCUGAAUGAUGCACGUAAAUCUUUAUUUCAAUUUGUUAUAGUUGCAAACGACGAUAACUACGCUCUAGCGGCUUAAUCCCGCUAGUGCAGCCCAGGCAAGUUGUCUAUGGCCCCUGACGCUGUAUCAUAUUACAUAGAACCGUGUUAAGUACGUGUUUGGGUGCUUAGCAUCAAACUUUACAAGCUCGCCUGAUGUGAUCCCUGCUGGUUGGGUAGCAUUUGGGUUAAAUCAAUAAACCAAAUAAACAUGUAGAUUUUUAGAUGGCGGCUUCGCGGACGGGGGUUCGACUCCCCCCAGCUCCACCA
rnacentral:tmRNA from 1 species